rnacentral:lncRNA from 1 species
AGACAAAUAAAUUUCCCAACUCCCUUUCUUAACUUUCCCCUAUUUUUUCUGUGGAACUUACGGCGCUUUAUUGUCUCAGGAACCACACUUGCUGUUGAUGCAUUGCUCACGUUGAUACUCGUCUCCAAGCUACGAACCCCCUCAGUGCCUGUCUCCGGAGCAUCCAGAGUGACGCGACGCUGGUCAAAGUAAACUCUGGUGGGUACCCGACACAUUUCUGUUGCAUUUCAUACGUCUUGAAAAUCCUCAACAAAAGGAACUUGAAUACCAAGCGGGGUGAGACACAACCGAAUUACGGUUGGGCGUUGGCCGCCUUCCGAGGCCGCAGCGAGAAGCUUCGGAGCACGUCGGUGCGUGUCAGCGUUGCUUGCGUGGGCAAUGAGUGAAUAAGUUUCAAAGACCUGGUUUCGAGCGAGAUAGCCACCACCGCGAAGGUGUCUUUUCACUGUUCCGCAACAUUAACGGCAAGAAUUGCAGAAGUCUGCUCGAUAGAAGCCACACAACGUCCAAACUCCUAAUCACACCGCACUAGUGGCGCACCACAGUUGUUUUGCUUCGUGUUCGGGGCAGUUACUUGAUGUUGUUCCUCCAGUGAUCUGCUCCCACGUGUACUUUCCCCUGGCGUCGUCGAGGGGAUAAUUAAGAACUGCAGUCGUCCCUUCGCAAACGCUACACAGUCUUCAACGUCGGUUUGAUUCACACCGCCUACUGUGCAUGACUCGUUCCUGAGUGGAAUGCUGUGCGAGGCAAAACCAGCGAUGGAUAAACGUUACAUGUUUGCUGGCAACAGCAUGGGCACUUAGGGUGAGCCCCCUGUUCUUGAAAACAGUCUAAUUGCUGGUCUCCCUUGUUAAACGCUACGCCCCUGCGACGGUCCACGAAUUUGAUGUUCCACUAACGAAGUCGCCUCCCUCGUGCAUCUACUUGUAAUCUCAUCUGCUGGGCUGAGCUGCCUGCCAAUUCGCCCUAAGUCCCUGCCUCACCACAGC